CGAACGGGUGAGUAACGCGUGAGGAACCUGCCUCAAAGAGGAGGACAACAGUUGGAAACGACUGCUAAUACCGCAUAAGCCCACGGGUCGGCAUCGACCAGAGGGAAAAGGAGCAAUCCGCUUUGAGAUGGCCUCGCGUCCGAUUAGCUAGUUGGUGAGGUAACGGCCCACCAAGGCGACGAUCGGUAGCCGGACUGAGAGGUUGAACGGCCACAUUGGGACUGAGACACGGCCCAG
rnacentral:rRNA from 1 species